CUGAAAGCAUGAAUUGUCCAUAUCAGACUUCACAUUAGAUAUUUGGGUGUCUGUUCACCAAACUCCAACUGACGUUUAAAAGGGUGAGACACUGAUGACUUCAAGCAGUGCUAUUACUGGGACUUGGCAUAAGGCUAAUUAAGGAGAUUCCAGCUCCACGUGUCCUGUUCAUACUGACAUUUGUCUUCUCAAGCCCCCUCACCAGUGACAUCAACAAAUAAGAUAAAACAGUUAAAGAAGAAAUCUAUGGACACUGAUGGCAGUCAAUUUAUUAGCAGUUCACCUAUCACCCUGGUAAAUUAUUCUGAUACAAUUGUAUACCUGAGAGUAUAAAUCCAUAUUGUCACUGAGGUAUAAAAUUAGUAUAAAGAUAUUUAAAGACAUCAGUUUAAAGUGUUAGGGAGAUGUCCAGGUUAUGGUCAUUGCAAAAGUUCAUUUUAUAGUAUCUUUGAUCAAGUACUGGGAGUCAUGCAGUUGAUUAUCUGGCCCAUCUCUCUCUCCAACAUAUUUUAUGAGUCAUGGCUACUGAAAACACUGGGACAAAGCCACAUGAACUCCACUUUUUAAUAGUCCUGUUCCAUUAAAAACAAACAAACAAAACAAAAAAAACACACCAAAAAGCCAAUAGAACAAGAAGAAGUUAAAAUUAACCUACUUUGUCUAAUAUAUUACCACAUUUAGUAGAACUGUAGUA